CUUUACUCAGAAAAAGGACAACAAGGCCAGCUGGACUUCAGGCCUCAGGCCACACUUGGUUUUCUCAGGUUUCUCUGCACAUAAAGGCCCAAAAUAAUUUUCCGUCAUGACCUGGCCAGGAAGUAGAGCCGGCUCUCAGGGUGGCCACUGAAAAUGGGCAUGUGAACUUGGUUAUCUGUCCUUAGUGGGCUGUCACCUGUAACACCUGCAACACCUGGGAAGUCUGGGAAUGCCCAUGGCAACCAGCCUAAUCAGCUUCAUGAAGAAGGCCCCAGUUGUGCCUGCCAAGGGCAAGUCUACCAGAUGGCCCUGAACUCCAGGGAAGCCAUGAUCCACUGAAGAAAUGGACUAAUGUCACAAACUGUUAGUGCACACACAUGCACACACACCGGUAUGUAAAUACUUUCCUUUACCCAGCAUAAUGCACUCUAAUACUUCUUGUUCUGUUUCAUUUUUCAAAAAAUGCCAUUUGUGACCUAUAGCACAGAGUUUUAAAAACACUGCCUUAAACAUUGGGAAAUACUGGUUAUGCUUCAUGUUCCUAACCCUAUCCCCAACACUAACACUAUUCACAGUUACCCAAUCACUGUUUAUUCAACACAAUCAACUCUAUUAAAAUAUUCUUUUUCAGCUUUUCUUUCCCACUAAAACAUAAAAUCUUUCUUUCUGAGCCAAACUGUCAGUACCAUCAGCUCAGAGAAUAUCAUAUGUACCUUAUGUUGUAUUACAAAAGAUGUACCAUAAAUGCACAAGGAACAAAUUUAGUCAUUACACUGCUGGAUAUCUGGAAAUUUUAAUAUUUUUUCCUAUGGAUUUGGUCCCCAUAAAUUAAAAUGAAAUUAUACUAUAAUCAAAGUAUAUCUGUCAUUUAUGCUGGUGAUGGACACAAAAGAAGAAACAGUCACUUCCCCUUCCUGCUAGAACACUUCAAAGUGC